AUAUUAACUAUGAUGAGAAGAGUAACUUUUAAAUGUAGUCUUAGCGAGUAAGGGAUGGUGUAAGCCUUAUACGAAGUUAAAAGCGAAGAACAUCUCGGAGUUUCUAACCGAAAAAGCAAUUGCUUGUGUAGGCUUAGACGGCUAAAUACCGUUAAUAAUUUACUAAGUGGCCUUUUUAGGCAAUUUGGGUGGUACCACGUAAGUAAUCCUUUCGUCCCAUAU
rnacentral:ncRNA from 1 species